AGCUCUUAGGACUGGUGGUUUGGAGGAGGUGGAGGCCCAACCGCUGCACGGCAGGCCAGCGUCCCACGUGGAGCUGGUUCUGGGCCGGGUUAGAAGUCCCGGCUUCCGCCCUUAGCGAGGCUCCCCCCAUGGAGAGUGACACAGGAGGACGGGAGUUGCUUGUGGCUUCCUUUCCAAGCUCCUAAUCACCUCUCACAGCUCUCCUUCCUGGAACUUCCUCACGGGCCUACGCACAGCCCCUUUUAUGGACACCACAGCUGUGGACCAGCCUGGCCGCUGCUGAACUGGAAGCCUCCAGAUAAGCUGUUUGCAGCUGGAAGAAGACAAAUCACACAUAUGGAAGGAUCCCAUACAUGAGAAGAGCCAUGACAGCAGCACUGAACAACCCGGCCACAGGGACAGUCACAAACCAGGC